ACGAACGAGAGAGAGCUUGCUUUCUCGAGCGAGUGGCGAACGGGUGAGUAACGCGUGAGGAACCUGCCUCAAAGAGGGGGACAACAGUUGGAAACGACUGCUAAUACCGCAUAAGCCCACGGGUCGGCAUCGACCAGAGGGAAAAGGAGCAAUCCGCUUUGAGAUGGCCUCGCGUCCGAUUAGCUAGUUGGUGAGGUAACGGCCCACCAAGGCGACGAUCGGUAGCCGGACUGAGAGGUUGAACGGCCACAUUGGGACUGAGACACGGCCCAGACUCCUACGGGAGGCAGCAGUGGGGAAUAUUGCACAAUGGGGGAAACCCUGAUGCAGCGACGCCGCGUGGAGGAAGAAGGUCUUCGGAUUGUAAACUCCUGUUGUUGAGGAAGAUAAUGACGGUACUCAACAAGGAAGUGACGGCUAACUACGUGCCAGCAGCCGCGGUAAAACGUAGGUCACAAGCGUUGUCCGGAAUUACUGGGUGUAAAGGGAGCGCAGGCGGGAAGACAAGUUGGAAGUGAAAUCCAUGGGCUCAACCCAUGAACUGCUUUCAAAACUGUUUUUCUUGAGUAGUGCAGAGGUAGGCGGAAUUCCCGGUGUAGCGGUGGAAUGCGUAGAUAUCGGGAGGAACACCAGUGGCGAAGGCGGCCUACUGGGCACCAACUGACGCUGAGGCUCGAAAGUGUGGGUAGCAAACAGGAUUAGAUACCCUGGUAGUCCACACCGUAAACGAUGAUUACUAGGUGUUGGAGGAUUGACCCCUUCAGUGCCGUAGUUAACACAAUAAGUAAUCCACCUGGGGAGUACGACCGCAAGGUUGAAACUCA
rnacentral:rRNA from 1 species